UCAAAACUCUUUAUUGAUGCCGUUUUAGUGUUUCUGCGGCGACUGACGGUAAAAGUGUUAAUUUUCCUGGUUGUGGCCUCUUCCUGUGUGAUGUCUGCUGUGAUGAGUCCCCCUUGGCCUACUUGGUAGAGUGCACUGGCGAGAGGACUGUCUUAAAGGACUUCACCCUCCUGCAGCGCAGAUGUAGUACCCCCCCCGGGCGGAGGAGUUUCUUCAUUGAGUUCAAUAGGUCUACUCCCCUGAGAAGUGGUCUACAUGGGAGUGUUGAGAGUCGAAAUUCUUCUGUACGUUUGUGCUGCUUUGGUGCUGAGCAGCUACAUCUGCUGGUUAAAGUGAGCAGUGAGUUUAAAUGCAUGCGAUGAUCAUGUGGGGAGUAACUAUUUCCCUCAAAUAUUGAUAUCAAAUUUCUAUUUGCCUCUUUGUAAUGGUAACUGAAAGGGAUUAUCCCUGCAUUUCAUUUGUAGUAUUGGUCAAACUGGUGCAUUUGUGGAUGGUGGGGGGGGGGGGGGGGGACUUUCCAAGUUCUUCUUUUCACAGGCUCGCACCUUAAAGCAAACCUGACCAUCCAAGGGAGUCCCUCUUUAGUACUGCCCACCACAUUAAUGAAAACGGUUGAGCACGUUCCCGAAACAGAUCAUUCUAAGGAUGGAUCAAGGGAAAUCUCUGGUGUUAAAAUCAUGUAGGAAGGUAUUUUGUACUGGUUUUCUAUAGUGAGUAAAUCAUUUGCAUAUACUGUUUUUCUUCCAAUAUUUUGUAGGGAUACACACUUGGGUACUGGGAGGGUUGUGGGGGUGUUAAUCAAAUAUCUUCCUAGAAUUUUUUUUCACACAGCUUCGUGUAAAGCAGCAUUUUAAAGAUCCAAAUGAUUAGCGUUGAUGUUUGAGGAGCAAAGAGUCAACCCAGUGGUCCACGUCUUUCAAGGGUUCCUUUUGCCUUGUGGUGUGGAUAUUCCUUGGUGUCUACAAUGAUGUAGCAGGAGGCGGGCCACCUUUUGGGAUGUGAACUUGCGGUGUUCUCCCAGGGAGUGUGGUAACUUAACUUUUAGGCUGAUGCAUUUUAUAUCCUGGAGUUGAAAUUUGCAUUUGGGGUUUCUGGGGUCAGGGGAGGGCUUAACUGUGACUCUUCCAGAUUAUGACCCACCCCUCAAUGAAAGAGACUGGAGGUCUACAUCUCCCCCGUCUUAAGGAGAACAGCUGAUGCCUUGAGGCCAGUGGUAUUUAACUGUUUCUUGUGUAAAGUUAUUGUGUACGUGAAUUUGUGUGUUUUAAUUGUAUUUUAGCAACUGUUAAUACAAUUUUGAUAGUGGGGUUGCUUACUGUCUGGGUUUGUAUGGGUGGGAAUGGUGGAAGUCUUGUUUUCCCUUUUGCGUUUUCCAGUGUGCUGUGUCCUACGCUUUCAGUACUGAAGAUCAACAGGAACGCCCCUAACUCAUUGUAUGUCAAGGUUUACUAUUGCUUCAAAACACCUCAUUAGGUCUCAAGUAAGGUCCCUUACAAAUGUUUUCACAUUUUAUAUUUCAUUAAUGACAUUUGGCACCUUGCCUUAAUUGCACGCCUUUGCAAAUUAGUUAAAUGUUUUGUAUUGAUGCAACUGAACAUUGUCACGGAAUUAUAAUUGGUAAUAAAUGCAUAGCUUUUUGUGAUUGAA